rnacentral:rRNA from 1 species
AUUGAACGCUGGCGGCAUGCUUUACACAUGCAAGUCGAACGGUAACAGGCCGCAAGGUGCUGACGAGUGGCGAACGGGUGAGUAAUGCAUCGGAACGUGCCCAGUCGUGGGGGAUAACGCAGCGAAAGCUGUGCUAAUACCGCAUACGAUCUGUGGAUGAAAGCGGGGGACCGUAAGGCCUCGCGCGAUUGGAGCGGCCGAUGUCAGAUUAGGUAGUUGGUGGGGUAAAGGCUCACCAAGCCGACGAUCUGUAGCUGGUCUGAGAGGACGACCAGCCACACUGGGACUGAGACACGGCCCAGACUCCUACGGGAGGCAGCAGUGGGGAAUUUUGGACAAUGGGCGCAAGCCUGAUCCAGCAAUGCCGCGUGCAGGAAGAAGGCCUUCGGGUUGUAAACUGCUUUUGUACGGAGCGAAAAGGCUCUCUCUAAUACAGCUCGCUAAUGACGGUACCUGAAGAAGAAGCACCGGCUAACUACGUGCCAGCCGCCGCGGUAAAAC